rnacentral:rRNA from 1 species
CCCUUAGAUGUCCUGGGCUGCACGCGCGCUACACUGAUGUGUCCAGUAAGCACCUAACCUCUUCCGAAAGGAACGGGUAACCUUUGCAAGCACAUCGUGAUGGGGAUAGAUUAUUGCAAUUAUUAGUCUUGAACGAGGAAUUCCUAGUAAGCACAAGUCAUCAGCUUGUGUUGAUUACGUCCCUGCCCUUUGUACACACCGCCCGUCGCUCCUACCGAUUGAAUGUUCCGGUGAGCUCUUCGGACUGCGCGGUCUGCAGUUUCUGCGUUCCGUGCGGAAAGUUGCGCAAACCUUAACAUUUAGAGGAAGGAGAAGUCGUAACA